GGUAGGAACAUGGGCAGCAGUUCCAUCUCCCCUGACACACACCUGACUGCCCUCCGGAAGCUGAGCUUUCCUAACCUCCCUCUGGUGGUCGUCAAAGCCCUUUUCCUACCUCCUUCUGGGUGCAGCAGUUCCAUCUCCC